UAUAGACCAGCCGUCGGAGAAUUCGUGGU
rnacentral:sRNA from 1 species